GGGGGCGUAAUGGCUUCGACGGGGGUGGGAGCAGCUUUAGAAGCGAGUGGAGGGACCUUCUGGGCCCGCCUUAAAAAACUAGAAGAAAAUGUAAACGCAGAAGAUAAUUUUGCAUUAGCAGCUUAAUAUAGCUGUUCGUUCUACCUGGGAGUCCUACGGCCUAGGAUAGGGCGCCGAUUAGUAGGGACCCGAGCCUAAGAAAGCUUUGACUUAGGAACGGAAAUUAUGAAGCUACUGAAGUAAAGAGCCUGUCUAUUGGCGCUUUGCAGAGGGAAUUUUAAAUAAUAGACUGCACUCGGAGAUGCUAAAGCCUAUCUACUUUCGGACAGGAGUUCGAUUCUCCUCGCCUCCACCA
rnacentral:tmRNA from 1 species